GGGAGAUAUAUAUUGACUAGGAGCAUUGCCUUGGGGCACUACAAUACAGCAUCCUCCCUCCUACCCGGUAAUGUCACAUGUGGUGUCUACCUUGCAGCAAGGAUACAGUAAACGGAUUUGACAGUAUUGGCAAAGAUAUUGAUGCCCUUCUAUUCCUCCUGAGUCAAUACAAAAUACCUUUAACAAGAUAAACACAGUUUACAUGACCCUCCAUUGGAAUAGGUGAAGAGAGAGACCGUGAUGGGAAGCAGCUGGUGCGUCGUCUCUUGGUUCAGCUCAUCGUGUCAGUCUCCACCCACGGUUACCAGCUGCCCCCCAUCCACACCCCGAGGAGGCGGGGUCUCGGUUGUCGUGGCACCUGUGGGGGUGUCACCUGAUGGGAGAAAAGGAAGUGGAAAUGAAGGGAAGCAGCAGAUCCUGUCAUGGAGCAUCAAAGCACCUGUCAGUCAAAUCACUGACCUGCAGGGUGUGUGUGUGUGUUUAUGUGAGUGUUUGUGUGUGCCCAUAAAGUCACUGACCUACA